UGUAGUCCCCGCCCGCCCUCAAUCACGGCCGCGGUCAUGGCUCCCGCGCUCCUGCUCGUCUUCGCGUUCGCGCUGCUCGGAGGCCUCGGCCGGGGCCAGGAUUUCGACCUCUCGGACGUGCUCGACGAACCGAAGAAGCCGACGUCGCCGCCCAAGAAGCCUCCGCCGUCGGGCGGAGACCUGGACCUGAGCGACGCCCUGGGAGGCGGAGACGACCCCGCCCCCCCGCCACCCAGGCCCAAGCCGAAACCGGAUCACGAGUCCGAGCUCUCGGGAGGCGACUUCUCCAACAAGGACUUGGAAGACGCCGCUGGGGGCAAAGGUGGAGGCCAAGGACCCCAAGGGGAGGAGGAGCCUGAGGCGGACGGCUCCGCCCCCCAGGGCCUGGUCCCCGGCCUCAUCGGGGCCGCGGUGGCCGCGGUUGCUGGCGCCGUCUCGAGCUUCGUGGCCUACCAGAGGCGGAGGCUGUGCUUCCAGGAGCACGGCUCCGCCCCCGUCUAGGGCCCCGCCCCCCUGCCGCGAUGACAUCCAGCACCAAGCGACCAAGCAACCGAACUCCUACGCAGCCGCCAAAGCCCCGCCCACGCCCGGCCCCGCCUCCCCUGCGUCGUUUGCAUAUCGUUUGCAUUCCCGUGAGCCCAGGCUGGACCCCGGGGCCCCUGUGAAGUCGUGACCCCUGCGUGACCCCGCCGCUGCCACCGUCGUAAUAAACGCUUUGCCCCCCCCAGCC